UACGAAGGGGGCUAGCGUUGUUCGGAAUUACUGGGCGUAAAGGGCUCGUAGGCGGCCAACUAAGUCAUACGUGAAAUCCCUCAGCUUAACUGGGGAACUGCGUGUGAUACUGGAUGGCUUGGAUUUGGGAGAGGGAUGCGGAAUUCCAGGUGUAGCGGUGAAAUGCGUAGAUAUCUGGAGGAACACCGGUGGCGAAAGCGGCAUCCUGGACCGGCAUUGACGCUGAGGCGCGAAAGCCAGGGGAGCAAACGGG
rnacentral:rRNA from 1 species